UACGUAGGGGGCGAGCGUUGUCCGGAAUUACUGGGCGUAAAGGGUGCGUAGGUGGCCUUUUAAGUUGGAUGUGAAAUCCCCGGGCUUAACUUGGGUGGUGCAUCUAAUACUGGAGGGCUAGAGUGCAGGAGAGGGAAGCGGAAUUCCUAGUGUAGCGGUGAAAUGCGUAGAUAUUAGGAGGAACACCAGUGGCGAAGGCGGCUUUCUGGACUGUAACUGACACUGAGGCACGAAAGCGUGGGGAGCAAACAGG
rnacentral:rRNA from 1 species